rnacentral:tRNA from 1 species
GCCAGUUUGGCUCAGUGGAUAGAGCAUUGGCCUGUAGACAGAAGGGUCCUGGGUUCAAUUCCCAGCAAGGGCA